AAGGUAGCAUAAUCAUUUGCCUCUUAAUUAGUGGCUAGUAUGAAUGGACAAACGAGAAUUCCCCUGUCUCUAUAAAGCCAAUGAAAAUUAAUCUUCAGGUGAAGAAGCCUGAAUCUCAUUAAAAGACAAAAAGACCCUAUUGAGCUUACAUUCAAUCUCUAAAAUAUUAAAAUAAAAUAAAACUACCCUUUUUACAAGAAUUUUGCUGGGGCGGCAAAGGAACAACCAAAAAUUCCUUUUCUCAAAGACUUAUAAGUCUAUUAACUGAUCCGUAUUAACGAUUAACAAAACUAGUUACCAUAGGGAUAACAGGCUAAUUUUUCUCUAAAGCUCACAUUAACAGAAAAGAUUGGCACCUCGAUGUUGGCUUAGGAUAUCCUAAGGGCGCAGAAGCCUUUUAAGGUGGGUUUGUUCAACCUUUAAAAUCCUACGUGAUCUG
rnacentral:rRNA from 1 species